GUGCGGCGUGCCUAAUACAUGCAAGUAGAACGCUGAAGAGAGGAGCUUGCUCUUCUUGGAUGAGUUGCGAACGGGUGAGUAACGCGUAGGUAACCUGCCUUGUAGCGGGGGAUAACUAUUGGAAACGAUAGCUAAUACCGCAUAACAAUGGAUGACACAUGUCAUUUAUUUGAAAGGGGCAAUUGCUCCACUACAAGAUGGACCUGCGUUGUAUUAGCUAGUAGGUGAGGUAACGGCUCACCUAGGCGACGAUACAUAGCCGACCUGAGAGGGUGAUCGGCCACACUGGGACUGAGACACGGCCCAGACUCCUACGGGAGGCAGCAGUAGGGAAUCUUCGGCAAUGGGGGCAACCCUGACCGAGCAACGCCGCGUGAGUGAAGAAGGUUUUCGGAUCGUAAAGCUCUGUUGUAAGUCAAGAACGAGUGUGAGAGUGGAAAGUUCACACUGUGACGGUAGCUUACCAGAAAGGGACGGCUAACUACGUGCCAGCAGCCGCAGUAAUACGUAGGUCCCGAGCGUUGUCCGGAUUUAUUGGGCGUAAAGCGAGCGCAGGCGGUUUGAUAAGUCUGAAGUUAAAGGCUGUGGCUCAACCAUAGUUCGCUUUGGAAACUGUCAAACUUGAGUGCAGAAGGGGAGAGUGGAAUUCCAUGUGUAGCGGUGAGAUGCGUAGAUAUAUGGAGGAACACCGGUGGCGAAAGCGGCUCUCUGGUCUGUAACUGACGCUGAGGCUCGAAAGCGUGGGGAGCGAACAGGAUUAGAUACCCUGGUAGUCCACGCCGUAAACGAUGAGUGCUAGGUGUUGGAUCCUUUCCGGGAUUCAGUGCCGCAGCUAACGCAUUAAGCACUCCGCCUGGGGAGUACGACCGCAAGGUUGAAACUCAAAGGAAUUGACGGGGGCCCGCACAAGCGGUGGAGCAUGUGGUUUAAUUCGAAGCAACGCGAAGAACCUUACCAGGUCUUGACAUCCCGAUGCUAUUUCUAGAGAUAGAAAGUUACUUCGGUACAUCGGUGACAGGUGGUGCAUGGUUGUCGUCAGCUCGUGUCGUGAGAUGUUGGGUUAAGUCCCGCAACGAGCGCAACCCCUAUUGUUAGUUGCCAUCAUUCAGUUGGGCACUCUAGCGAGACUGCCGGUAAUAAACCGGAGGAAGGUGGGGAUGACGUCAAAUCAUCAUGCCCCUUAUGACCUGGGCUACACACGUGCUACAAUGGUUGGUACAACGAGUUGCGAGUCGGUGACGGCAAGCUAAUCUCUUAAAGCCAAUCUCAGUUCGGAUUGUAGGCUGCAACUCGCCUACAUGAAGUCGGAAUCGCUAGUAAUCGCGGAUCAGCACGCCGCGGUGAAUACGUUCCCGGGCCUUGUACACACCGCCCGUCACACCACGAGAGUUUGUAACACCCGAAGUCGGUGAGGUAACCUUUUGGAGCCAGCCGCCUAAGGUGGGAUAGAUGAUUGGGGUG
rnacentral:rRNA from 1 species